AUUGAACGCUGGCGGCAGGCCUAACACAUGCAAGUCGAACGGCAACAGGAAGCAGCUUGCUGCUUCGCUGACGAGUGGCGGACGGGUGAGUAAUGUCUGGGAAGCUGCCUGAUGGAGGGGGAUAACUACUGGAAACGGUAGCUAAUACCGCAUAAUGUCGCAAGACCAAAGAGGGGGACCUUCGGGCCUCUUGCCAUCGGAUGUGCCCAGAUGGGAUUAGCUUGUUGGUGGGGUAACGGCUCACCAAGGCGACGAUCCCUAGCUGGUCUGAGAGGAUGACCAGCCACACUGGAACUGAGACACGGUCCAGACUCCUACGGGAGGCAGCAGUGGGGAAUAUUGCACAAUGGGCGCAAGCCUGAUGCAGCCAUGCCGCGUGUAUGAAGAAGGCCUUCGGGUUGUAAAGUACUUUCAGCGGGGAGGAAGGGAGUAAAGUUAAUACCUUUGCUCAUUGACGUUACCCGCAGAAGAAGCACCGGCUAACUCCGUG
rnacentral:rRNA from 1 species